rnacentral:rRNA from 1 species
GGAUUCCCUGAGUAACGGCGAGCGAAAAGGGAUGAGCCCAGCGCCGAAUCCCCGCCUUCCGGGCGAGGGAAAUGUGGCGUUUAGGAGUGAGCGUGCCGGGUGCGGACGAGGCGGCAAGUCCCCCUGACCGGGGCUUGUCCGAAGCGGGUGCGAGGCCCAUAGCCGCCCCUUCCGCUCCGGAUGCGAUCUCCUUGGAGUCGGGUUGCUUGGGAGUGCAGCCCUAAUCGGGUGGUAAACUCCACCUAAGGCUAAAUACCGCCGUGAGACCGAUAGCAAACAAGUACCGUGAGGGAAAGUUGCAAAGAACUUUGAAGAGAGAGUUCAAGAGUACGUGAAACUGCUCAGAGGUAAACGGGUGGGCCCUCGAAUUCCUGUGGCGAGAGGAUUCAGUCUGGCUCUUCUCGACCUGCGCCGGGAGUGUGCACCGAGACAGGUGUCGCCCGGUGCGGCGCAUUCGGGAAGUUUCCGACGCAUUUGACUCUCGCCCUGAGGACGCUGCAGCCGGUCUGGCAGCGCAAGCGUGACGGCCUGAAGGUCGGGUAAUGGCAGGUGGCCGGUGGCUUUCCUCGUGAGGGCUAUCGGUUGUUAGCCGUCCCGUCAGUGGCACGUCGCCAGACCGUGGUGUCGCGAGUCCCUUAACCGGGACUCCUCGUCUCCACCCCUUAAGCGAGUCGCGGGACAGACGGCGUCAAGGGCGUCCCUUUCCGACCGCCGCACUCUUUCAGGAGCUGGGCGAGACGGACUGAGGAGCCCCGAUGGGCGCUGCGGACCCGUCUGGGGACUGGAGGCUGGCAGCGAAGUAGGUCGGUCACCCACCCGACCCGUCUUGAAACACGGACCAAGGAGUCUAACAUGUGCGCGAGUCAGUGGGUCUUGAAUAGGCCCACGGGCGCAAUGAAAGCGAAGGUCGUCGUUUGUCGACCGAGUCGGGAUCCUCCCUUURAYCGGGGAGGCGCACCGACGACACGUCCUAUCCGCCUCGGCGGUUGGGCGUAGUCUGAGCGUACACGUUGGGACCCGAAAGAUGGUGAACUAUGCCCGGACAGGAUGAGGCCAGAGGAAACUCUGGUGGAGGUCCGCAGCGGUUCUGACG